UUUUAUAGGAUCUCAAAACCUUCACAGACACAUAUGAGUGGAAGCUGCUGAUUGAUAUUGGCUGGCUGGAAGGAAGAGUAUAAUGAGACGUACUCGUUGCACUUGGGAACUUAAUGAAGUCUGCGCAAUGGGAAACAGAAGGGAAUGAUGUCCUCAGAUGAGAAGGUGGGAAAAUCAGGCUGGUGUCAUGCUGAAAGAGCAAUAAACUGGGCAGCAGAGAUGUCAGAUUCUACUGAAAAUAUUAAUCUUUCAGUGACAGAAGAAUGUCUUACAGCAACACCUGAAGUUAAACAGAGCUAUGUAUGCAAGGAACAUCUCUCUUCUUAACAGAGCUGAAAAGCCAACAGAGAAUUACUGGGAGUGCACAAGAUUGUCUGCUGGAGGAAAGGUUGACUAUAUUUGAGAUCUGAGAUAUAGACUAACAGAGAGCUAUCAAGUGGUGUUACAGGCAAGUCUUCAGACAGACUCUCUGACAAAACUUUUUCCCAACUGUUCAGCAACUAUGUGGUUUUCUGCCAAGGCGCAUGAAAUACUUCAUUAUGAAUAAAUGCCUUUAUCUAUUGGCAAAGCUAUUGAGAAUGUAGGUGCGGUUGUGGCACUGUGUGCCACAAGCCAGAAAGGUCUAAGCCCCCGUGAGAGGUGAGGGUGAGGUUGUGUGGAUCUCCCUUCUUACAUGUAUUUCUUGCUGAGCCCUCCAUUUAGAAACCUACUACCUCAGCUUUUCCUGGCCCUUCUCCCUUUGGAAGUCACCACCAGCUAUGUCUCUCCUGUUUUCCUAACUUAUCUCCUGUUUCCUCCUUUUCUGGUUACACGCCUCAUACUACAUAACAGCAUUUUAUCAAAACACAUUUCUAAUUAAUCUGUUCUGGAUCUGAUCCCACCUUAGAGAAAAAGUCCAACUGAUUUAAGUGGGAGGAAGAUCAAUCUUUGUUGUGUUCUUUUCAGUUAAGAAUGUACCAAGGUCUUGUGAGGCUUAAUCAAAGAAAGUGAUUUGUCUUUGACAAUCUCUCCGUCUCUUGUGAGCUUUUAUGAGGCUGUUCAGCUCAUUAAGAGCACCUUAAAAAAUAUUGUUCUUGGAGACUAAAAAAGGCAAAAACAUGAUUAGCUGCAGAUGAGCAAUUUCUUCUAAAAAAUUAGGAAAUUAGAAUCAAGAUUUGGAAAUCUUUUUUUGCCAUGUUACACCAGUAGUUCCUUCUCACUACCCUUGGGAAGGAUUAUGUGAGUGCUGUUGCUUUCAGUCACAUGUUUCAGAGAUGACAACUGAAUACACCAUAAUCAAUCCAAGCAAUACAGACCUCCGUUGCUCUGUCAAGAGAGUCAUGUUCUUUAAUGACAUUUUCCUCUCAAGCACUGGUGUAAGAUAUUGUGCUGAUUUUCCAAAGCUAGAAAACCAGCAGAGAAUGGUUGGGUGUGCACAAGACUGUCUGCUGCAAGAAUGGUUGUGUAGAGACUGUGUGCUGCCUCUGGGUCUGUAUUGUCCUUCAGGGAGAUGUUCAUGACUAGUGAUUUGAAUGAAUAGAAGCAAAAUCAAAAAGUGAAUUGGAAAAAUCUGUUUUCAUUUCUUUUUAUGAUAAUGUCUAUGGUCCCUUUUAAACCUUGUUGUACUUUGUCUUGGGCACUUGUACACGUAAAUUGGGUAUAUCUACUAAAUUAAAGAAGACCAUGGCUGGACCUACGACAUUCCAUAGUGAUGCAGUGUUACCAUGCUCCUUGGAACAGCUUUGCCCCGUAUCAUUUUGCUCUUUUCCAGACAACUAUCAGAAAUGAUUCAAAUAAUAUAACAGAUCAGAGACUGUUCCCCAUAGGCAAUGUGGGUGAGGUCUUGCUUUUUUAACAUGGAAGAAAGAUUUUAACCUUAUGGACAUGAGAUGAAUCACAUCACUUGCCUUCAGGGCCAAGGAACAGUUUCUGGCCUGUUUGCUAUACUUGUGUUGUUCUAUCCUUGUGUAAUAAGAGAAGGGACUUGCCUUUUAAUACUUGUAAUCUCUGCAGAAAAAAAAAAAUCAAAAGGGAAAAAUAAAAGAAAUAUUAUUUUCCAGAUGGUACAGAGAGAUUAAAGACAUGUUUACUUAGUGCAAUGGAGCAUUAUACAGAUAUCCCCAAGUUAGUGCUGACCUGUUUUGGUUCGUGUUCACCACAAAAAGGGAUAGAAUGUCUUUGUUGGCCUGUCAGACUUGAGAAAUUGGCUCAAACCCUAUACAACCCAAAGCCUACUGAGAAAACUGUCAAUAAGAGUAGCAAAAUGACAGUGGACAAGAAACAUAAAAUGAGCGGGAUUUAAAUAUCUAAAUAUUUAGUGUGGCUAUAUUAGGUUUAGUUUCAUCAAAAACCUUUACUAGUACUGAGUAGUCAUUCACGCCAUUUCCUGAUGGCAUUUCUCUGCUUCAGAGCUACAGGUUUUGACAGAAGGAUCACCAGGCUGUAUGAGUCCCAUAAAUCUCCAUAAAUAUUCAUAAAUCAUGUUCAGUUUUAUCUGUUUAAUUAUGAAUUUCUUCACCCUUUUAGGGAUUUGAAAGUUUGUGUCUUGGUUGCAAUGGAAUAUGAAGUCUUUGAGAUGGUAUAGGACAUCUCCUUUUAGUCUUUCUGAAGAUUAAAUAUUUAUGCUCAUUAUGUUCCAGCCCUACUAUAGAAGGAUAUCUACAACCGAGUUAUGUUGAGGUAUCUGAAUUUAGCUUCCCUUUCAAAUGAGUGGAUCGGUUGGCUUUCAGCUUUCCAUGGGACACAUUGAAAGUCUGCUUUUGUCUUCAUAUGCUCAAGAGGCAAAUCUCAUCAUCUACAGGACCAGUCUUCAGGGCUCACACAUUUUAGGAUAUACCAAUUAGUUAGAAACUUGGACCAUGAACUGGAAAGUAACAGGAACACCUGUGAAAAAAUUUCACCCAGUGAAAUUUUCCAGCCUUGUAUUUUUAGGGUAUGAGAGACAUCUUAAGGCCUGGGUACAACUUUUCAUUCUAUAAUGAUAAUUUCAGCAAACUACUGGACCACUUUUUUUUUAUGACCUGGUCCUGUGGUAUUAUGUAAUAUGAAGUUUUUCGUUGGUUUUGCCCCUUUGCCAUGACCACUGGUAGUUUUUCCUAAAAAAAUUGUGACUAAAGACUUGCUCUAUAUCUCGAUUGUCCAGCCAGUGGAAUAUUGUAACUAAAUUUAUCAGCCUUUUAAGUUGUUUUUAAAUUGCCUUUAGCUUGUGAUGUUUCCUUAUCUUGGACAAGAGAAAGGAAAAAGGAAGGAGUCUAUUUCUGCCAUCUCUUUCCUCCUGCAAGAAAACCCCCUCCCCCUUCCCCUCUCUUUGCCUUCCAAAGCUUUUGUUAAUUUAAAAUUAGCCCUUUGAGUUGCUCUUGGGAAAGUCAGGAUCCACGCAGCAACUAAGUCCCAGUGGAGAAGGCUGUUGCAGUAAACAUGGGGCAGAACCUCGGUGAGUCACCUGGCGGGCGUUCCCCCACUGCGUGAGGGAGAGCAGCGUAGGAAGCCCAUAAAGAAACAUGCCACCACCACCGGGGAAUCCAUGCAGGAUACUUCAACGAAAUCAUUUCCCAUCCAAUCUGGGCCUCCUACCAGCUAUUCACUGCAAGCGUCAGUCCAGAUAAGUAAUUAGAGGGCACUAGAUGCCUGGCUCUGAUCUCAUUGCCAUUGUUUGACCAUAGGAAGGAUUCAAAACAAGGCUUGGGGUCAAAAAUAAGUCCUAAAAUGCUUUUUUUAAUAUUCAGAUUUUCUUGCCCCCCCCGCCACCUUUAGGGAAAAAAAAAUAAAAUCUCUUACAGCUAAUUUUUAGUGACACCCACUGGCAAAGGCUCGGUUGUAAUACAUCCAUGGAAGCUCAGGUUUGCUUGUAGAUGCAGGCUUGCCAUGCAUCCAAGCAGUCUGAUCUAUCUAUACUCACGUGCUGCCCAGGCCAGCUAACCAGCAAUACUUGGGAGCGCUGUUGCUUCCAAAAAUACCUAUCCCAGCCUGUCCCAGGAAAGACAUUUCAGGAGGGAUGUGACAGACAAGCCAUUCUUUGAUGAGGAAAAGAAAGCAUAUAGGAUG